CAUUCUCUGGCUCAGAAAUACCUGUACUAUGAGACCCUACAUUACAAAUAUGAUAAAAUUACUAAUUCAUGUCACAGAAUUGUUAACUACUUUGAUACUAUUAAGCUUUGGAAUUGUAUAUUUCUUAAACAGUUAAAUUUUCUAGUAUCAUAAAGUAUUAGAACAAUUACAUUUUUUUGUAUAGAAGUCAGUUAGCAGGUUAGUUAAAGUGUUAGUUUGCCAGCUGGACGGUAGUUGAGUUAGUUAUAUUCUUUUUCUUGGCACCUAUUUAUAGUCUGUACAUCCAUUCAUUUCACCCGAUUCUGAUGAAUAAGAAUUCAAUCUUUCCAUCAUCAUUUGUUCCCGAUAUAAAGUAAAAUGAACAAAUUGUAUGUAAACAUACCAUCAUUUUCUUGGAUUUCAUCGAUCAAGUCUAAUUGAUUUUCCAUGUUUUUGCUACCCUCCAUCGAAAACUUUGGAUCCUCAACUUCAGAAACCGUUUCCCUUUCCAAAUUAUCCUGUGCCAUUGUUUUCGUAUGAAUACCUGCAAUCGUAGAAUGUUAUUGCUGAUUUAGAAAACAAAUCUUGAUAUUAUAAAAGGCAGUUGAUUCUAGAACAAGUUUGAGAAAAAUACCAUCUGACCCCUAUGUCAGAUUCACAUCCAAAUUAUCACCCAUUUCCUUGGUAAACAAUUUUUGCUUAGGAGUUUCUAAUUUUUUUUCAUUGUUGGAGUUCAGUUUCUCAUCA
rnacentral:lncRNA from 1 species